rnacentral:rRNA from 1 species
GAUGAACGCUAGCGGCAGGCUUAAUACAUGCAAGUCGAGGGGCAGCAUGAGUGUAGCAAUACAUUUGAUGGCGACCGGCAAACGGGUGCGGAACACGUACACAACCUUCAUCAAAGUGGGGAAUAGACCAGAGAAAUUUGGAUUAAUCCCCCGUAACAUAACGAUGUGGCAUCACAUUAUAAUUAUUGCUUCGGGGCUUAAUGAUGGGUGUGCGGCUGAUUAGAUAGUUGGCGGGGUAACGGCCCACCAAGUCUACGAUCAGUAGCUGAUGUGAGAGCAUGAUCAGCCACACGGGCACUGAGACACGGGCCCGACUCCUACGGGAGGCAGCAGUAAGGAAUAUUGGUCAAUGGACGCAAGUCUGAACCAGCCAUGCCGCGUGAAGGAUUAAGGUCCUCUGGAUUGUAAACUUCUUUUAUUUGGGACGAAAAAGGGUCUUUCUAGACCAACUGACGGUACCAGAUGAAUAAGCACCGGCUAACUCCGUGCCAGCCGCCGCAGUAAUAC